rnacentral:lncRNA from 1 species
GAAGGGGCCAGGAGGCCCAACAUCCCCAGGUGACAGGUGACAGCCACCUGCUCCAGAACUGCCUGUUGUCGCCUUUGAAACAAACUUAGAGCUCCUCUCGCCCGCCACUCCGCUCCCUAACCCCAGUCCGGCAGGCAGCGGCUUCUAGAACCCUCUAGCCCUCGCCAACACUUCCUGCUCCUCGCCAACUCCUGCCGAUGGAGCCGGGCGGCCAGGCCGCUCACUUACCACAGCGCCCGCCCCUUGGGGGCCGUUCGGGGUCGUAUCCGCCAUGGGAGACACUCGGGAGCCCGGGACGCUGCGACAGCAAAGAAGAGCAAAACGUCAGUGCGGGGCGACGACCCUCCGAGCGGCUUUCGGAGCCGGCCGGAAGCCCAAGCCCCCGGAGUAACCGGCCCUCCCGGACCUGUGCAGCAAACGGCCGCAGAAGUCCCCCUAUGGCGGCCCGGUAGUACCUGCCCCGCUCGGUCCACACCAAAGCUGCCUUUCCAGAAAGACCCAAGCGAAGGCGGAGCUUCGGAGGAAGGCCUUAAAGGGCCGAUGGACGCCGCCGGUUCCCCGGGGUUGCAAAACCGGAAGUGAUCCUUUCGUUUCCGCGUGAGUCAGGAGGGGACGUUGAGAGUCACCGGGCGUGGCUUCCAGAGGCAUGACGGGAAAUGCAGUUUUUCUUCUCGUUUUGAUUCCACUUACCCUAGGAGCCAAUCGGCACGGAAACGUUAAGUGAAACCUGCGAGGCAACUUUCGUCUUGACCUGCACUCAGGCGAUUUUCCUCGCUGGCUUCCGAACCUCAAAAAUCGAAGCUUCAGAAAUAUCUAUGAUCUCUCCAGACAGUGAGUCACCAAACCCUGUGACUUAGUUUUCUUAUUUCAAGCACUAGUGAAAUCGACUAUGUGACAGACGCAUGGAGGAAAAAACAAAAAAACGAACAUAACACUGACCUUCUCAGAGAAAGUAGAGCAAAUACGACCAUAAGCUGAGUUAAUCGGGGGUUCCUGGAAAAGUAAUUCUGGCCAUAAAAUCUUGAAGGCAAAGGAGAAAUUGUAUAUGAAAGGGGAAGGAGGAUCCAAAUAAGGUAACAGAGCAGAUAAGGUAACAGAAUAGUCAGGACAGUUCGGUGUGAGCUAACUGAAUGGGUGGGUCGCGGGGGCGGGGGGCUAUGAAAGAUUUGGACUGCUGAGAGGCAGGGUGUGCCAAGAAAAACAUCACAUGAGGGUGUGGGAGGGGUUGGAAGGAAAGGGGGGGGAGAAAUGAUGAAGUUAUAUUUUAAUUAAAAAUAUUUUUUAAAGAU